rnacentral:rRNA from 1 species
AACGUAGGAGACAAACGUUAUCCGGAGUUACUGGGCGUAAAGGGCGUGUAGGCGGUAUGUUUAAGUCUGGCGUGAAAGCUCUCGGCUAAACCGGGAGAGGUCGUUGGAUACUGGCAAACUAGAGGAUGGUAGAGGCGUGUGGAAUUCCGGGGUGUAGUGGUGAAAUGCGUAGAGAUCCGGAGGAACACCAGUGGCGAAGGCGACACGCUGGGCCAUACCUGACGCUAAAGCGCGACAGCAUGGGGAGCAAACGGG